rnacentral:rRNA from 1 species
GAUGAACGCUAGCGGCAGGCUUAAUACAUGCAAGUCGAGGGGUAGCAAGAUUGUAGCAAUACAAUUGUUGACGACCCGCAAACGGGUGCGGAACACGUACACAACCUUCCUACAAGUGGGGAAUAGCCCAGAGAAAUUUGGAUUAAUACCCCGUAACAUAGCGAUGUGGCGUCACAUUGCUAUUAUAGCUUCGGCGCUUGUUGAUGGGUGUGCGGCUGAUUAGAUAGUUGGCGGGGUAACGGCCCACCAAGUCUACGAUCAGUAGCUGAUGUGAGAGCAUGAUCAGCCACACGGGCACUGAGACACGGGCCCGACUCCUACGGGAGGCAGCAGUAAGGAAUAUUGGACAAUGGACGCAAGUCUGAUCCAGCCAUGCCGCGUGAAGGAUUAAGGUCCUCUGGAUUGUAAACUUCUUUUAUAAGGGACGAAAAAAGGUCUUUCUAGAUCGUCUGACGGUACCUUAUGAAUAAGCACCGGCUAACUCCGUGCCAGCCGCCGCAGUAACAC